GAUGAACGCUAGCGGCAGGCCUAAUACAUGCAAGUCGAACGAUACCAGAGAGCUUGCUUUCUGGGAAAGUGGCGCACGGGUGCGUAACGCGUAUGCAACCUACCUUAAUCAGGGGGAUAGCCUCUCGAAAGAGAGAUUAACACCGCAUAAAAUCACACUUCGGCAUCGAAGAAUGAUCAAAUAUUUAUAGGAUUAAGAUGGGCAUGCGUGACAUUAGCUAGUUGGUGAGGUAACGGCUCACCAAGGCUACGAUGUCUAGGGGAUCUGAGAGGAUGACCCCCCACACUGGUACUGAGGCACGGACCAGACUCCUACGGGAGGCAGCAGUAAGGAAUAUUGGUCAAUGGAGGCAACUCUGAACCAGCCAUGCCGCGUGCAGGAAGACGGCCCUAUGGGUUGUAAACUGCUUUUAUACGGGAAUAAACCUCUCUACGUGUAGAGAGUUGAAUGUACUGUAAGAAUAAGGAUCGGCUAACUCCGUGCCAGCCGCCGCAGUAAGAC
rnacentral:rRNA from 1 species